UCUAUAGAAUUUAUUGGUUGUCCAAUUCUUCUGGGGAACAACUAGAGACGGUCUUGUUACAACCUCUGAAUCCGAUCUGGAGAUGGUCUUGUCGCAGCCCUGAUCCUAACCUUAACAACCUUAUCCGACACACCUUUUGUUCUCCUCUUGGCAUCAAAGGGACCACGUUACAUAUACUCCAGGGCAGCAACAUGUACUACAAGCAAUUUACCUCCACAAGAAAUACAAUCCUCGCACUGAGUCAAUUUACCUUGCCAAAAGCAGGAAACUCUGCUCUGAAACGGGUACUGCAAGCAAGCUCAGCAAUCUGUUCAUUGGUAUCUGCCUCUUGUUCACCAAACUAGCAUUUCAGAGCAUUCCUGGAGCAG
rnacentral:misc_RNA from 1 species